rnacentral:rRNA from 1 species
GACGAACGCUGGCGGCGUGCUUAACACAUGCAAGUCGAACGGAAAGGCCCUGCUUUUGUGGGGUGCUCGAGUGGCGAACGGGUGAGUAACACGUGAGUAACCUGCCCUUGACUUUGGGAUAACUUCAGGAAACUGGGGCUAAUACCGGAUAGGAGCUCCUGCUGCAUGGUGGGGGUUGGAAAGUUUCGGCGGUUGGGGAUGGACUCGCGGCUUAUCAGCUUGUUGGUGGGGUAGUGGCUUACCAAGGCUUUGACGGGUAGCCGGCCUGAGAGGGUGACCGGCCACAUUGGGACUGAGAUACGGCCCAGACUCCUACGGGAGGCAGCAGUGGGGAAUAUUGCACAAUGGGCGGAAGCCUGAUGCAGCAACGCCGCGUGCGAGAUGACGGCCUUCGGGUUGUAAACCGCUUUCGCCUGUGACGAAGCGUGAGUGACGGUAAUGGGUAAAGAAGCACCGGCUAACUACGUGCCAGCAGCCGCGGUGAUACGUAGGGUGCGAGCGUUGUCCGGAUUUAUUGGGCGUAAAGGGCUCGUAGGUGGUUGAUCGCGUCGGAAGUGUAAUCUUGGGGCUUAACCCUGAGCGUGCUUUCGAUACGGGUUGACUUGAGGAAGGUAGGGGAGAAUGGAAUUCCUGGUGGAGCGGUGGAAUGCGCAGAUAUCAGGAGGAACACCAGUGGCGAAGGCGGUUCUCUGGGCCUUCCCUGACGCUGAGGAGCGAAAGCGUGGGGAGCGAACAGGCUUAGAUACCCUGGUAGUCCACGCUGUAAACGGUGGGUACUAGGUGUGGGGUCCAUUCCACGGGUUCCGUGCCGUAGCUAACGCUUUAAGUACCCCGCCUGGGGAGUACGGCCGCAAGGCUAAAACUCAAAGGAAUUGACAGGGCCCCGCACAAGCGGCGGAGCAUGCGGAUUAAUUCGAUGCAACGCGUAGAACCUUACCUGGGUUUGACAUGGAUCGGGAGCGCUCAGAGAUGGGUGUGCCUCUUUUGGGGUCGGUUCACAGGUGGUGCAUGGCUGUCGUCAGCUCGUGUCGUGAGAUGUUGGGUUAAGUCCCGCAACGAGCGCAACCCUUGUUCACUGUUGCCAGCACGUUAUGGUGGGGACUCAGUGGAGACCGCCGGGGUCAACUCGGAGGAAGGUGGGGAUGACGUCAAGUCAUCAUGCCCCUUAUGUCCAGGGCUUCACGCAUGCUACAAUGGCUGGUACAGAGAGUGGCGAGCCUGUGAGGGUGAGCGAAUCUCGGAAAGCCGGUCUCAGUUCGGAUUGGGGUCUGCAACUCGACCUCAUGAAGUCGGAGUCGCUAGUAAUCGCAGAUCAGCAACGCUGCGGUGAAUACGUUCCCGGGGCU